GACAUGAAGAGCUAGUGUUAUUCAUCUUUGAAUAAGGUUUAAAGGGUACUUAGACGGUUAUUUCCAGCCAAAAAAGGUACGGAUUUACUAAGAUGGUUUUAUGUGCAGAAGGUGAGUAUUUUAGGUGGUAGAGAUGAAAUUUUUUAAUGACCGUUAAGGACUGAUUAACAGCGAAAGGCAAACCUUCUAUGUAAUAACUGAGCGGAUUGAGGGACGAAGGCUUGGGAUGA
rnacentral:rRNA from 1 species